GCCGUGCCUAGUCCGACGGGAUGAAAACGGGGUCCCUUGCCCGCUGGUAUGGCAAUCAAUACAAGGG
rnacentral:sRNA from 1 species